UAAAUAGAUAUUUUUUUAUAGAUUUAAGAUUGUUUCAUUGUAUGUCAUUGAUACUACUAAGACUAUGUCUAUUGUUGUUAUGAAUAGGUACUUAUAGUUAAAAAUUAGUUAAGUUGUUUGUAUAAUGUAAAGAAUUGCAACCUUAAUUGCUAGAUAAACGUUACUAUAGUUAAAUGUGUGCUUACCUUAUAUAAAGUUUUACUACUGAUUAAGAUUUAGUAAAAUGCUGUUAUAUACUUACAUACUUGAUUAGCAUUUAAGAUGCAGUUAAAUAAUAUUUUGUUAAAUUAAAGUAUAUGCCUUACAUGUGUGUUUACUGUUGAAAUUAGUUACAUUUAGGUGCAUAAUCGUUAUAGUUAGAUUUACUAUUAUAUACUUAAGUACUCUUCUAUAUGGUUAUAGUAGGUAUUCAUAAAAUAUGUUGGUUAGGUAAAUACAUAAAUUAAAAACGGUCAGCUUUGUUUAUAUAAACUUUAUUUUCAUAACUUGUUGUUCGAUAGGUAUCUUUCAAGUUAGAGUUGACAUAAUAUCUAAUGUACAAAAAAUGCCUAAGUAAAUACUAUGUAAACUAUGUUAGGUAUAAGUGUUUAAGCAUGAUUGCACUUUAUUUGGUCAUACAAAUGUUAUCUCUUGAGUUAAUUUAUCGUUUGCUCUUUCUUGGGCGGCAAUAUGUUGAUGGCAACACAGGUAUAUUUUUAAUUUAUUGUUUAUGGUUACUUCCGUAUCCUAUACUGUUACAAUAUAACUGCUGUACGGUGCUCUUGUGUUGUGAUAAAUAAAAUACUGUCUCACUGUGAAA